rnacentral:rRNA from 1 species
GACGAACCGUGCAAACGUUAUUCGGAAUCACUGGGCAUAAAGGGCGCGUAGGCGGCUUUCUAAGUCAGGGGUGAAAUCCGGCAGCUCAACUGUCGCAGUGCCUUUGAUACUGGAGAGCUCGAGGGAGGUAGGGGUCUGUGGAACUUCCGGUGGAGCGGUGAAAUGCGUUGAUAUCGGAAGGAACGCCGGUGGCGAAAGCGACGGACUGGCCCGGUACUGACGCUGAGGUGCGAAAGCGUGGGGAGCAAACAGG